CUACGGGCGGCUGCAGUGGGGAAUAUUGCACAAUGGAGGAAACUCUGAUGCAGCAACGCCGCGUGGAGGAUGACACUUUUCGGAGCGUAAACUCCUUUAUAUAGGAAGGAGAUGACGGUACUAUAUGAAUAAGCGCCGGCUAACUCCGUGCCAGCAGCCGCGGUAAUACGGAGGGCGCAAGCGUUACUCGGAAUCACUGGGCGUAAAGAGCGUGUAGGCGGAUUAAAAAGUCAGAAGUGAAAUCCUAUAGCUUAACUAUAGAACUGCUUCUGAAACUCUUAAUCUAGAAUAUGGGAGAGGUAGAUGGAAUUUCUGGUGUAGGGGUAAAAUCCGUAGAGAUCAGAAGGAAUACCGAUUGCGAAGGCGAUCUACUAGAACAUUAUUGACGCUGAGACGCGAAAGCGUGGGGAGCAAACAGGAUUAGAUACCCUAGUAGUC
rnacentral:rRNA from 1 species